rnacentral:piRNA from 1 species
UUAUUGCAUUGGACCUGGAU